AUGCAAGCCGAACGGCAAGACUUGUAGCAAUACGAGUCCUAGAGUGGCGUAAGGGUGCGUAACACGUAUGCAAUCUGCCCGCAACCGGAGUAUAGCUCCCCGAAAGGGGAAUUAACGCUCCAUAGGAACACACGAGGGCAUCUGAGAGUGUUUAAACGAGAGGGUUGUGGAUGAGCAUGCGCAUGAUUAGCUAGUUGGUAGGGUAACGGCCUACCAAGGCGAUGAUCAUUAGGGGAACUGAGAGGUUGAUCCCCCACACUGGCACUGAGAUACGGGCCAGACUCCUACGGGAGGCAGCAGUAGGGAAUAUUGGUCAAUGGGUGAGAGCCUGAACCAGCCAUGCCGCGUGCAGGAAGAAGGCCUUCUGGGUUGUAAACUGCUUUUACCUGGGGAUAAAAACACUGUGCGCAGUGGAUUGAAGGUACCAGGGGAAUAAGCCACGGCUAACUACGUGCCAGCAGCCGCGGUAAUACGUAGGUGGCGAGCGUUGUCCGGAUUUAUUGGGUUUAAAGGGUGCGUAGGCGGCUUAUUAAGUCAGUGGUGAAAGACGGCAGCUUAACUGUCGAGGUGCCAUUGAUACUGAUGAGCUAGAGUACUGAUGAGGUAGGCGGAAUGGACGGUGUAGCGGUGAAAUGCAUAGAUAUCGUCCAGAACACCGAUAGCGAAGGCAGCUUACUAAGGAGUAACUGACGCUGAGGCACGAAAGUGUGGGGAUCAAACAGGAUUAGAUACCCUGGUAGUCCACACUGU
rnacentral:rRNA from 1 species